AGUGAACGCUGGCGGUAGGCCUAACACAUGCAAGUCGAACGGCAGCACAGUAAGAGCUUGCUCUUACGGGUGGCGAGUGGCGGACGGGUGAGGAAUACAUCGGAAUCUACUUUUUCGUGGGGGAUAACGUAGGGAAACUUACGCUAAUACCGCAUACGACCUGCGGGUGAAAGCAGGGGAUCUUCGGACCUUGCGCGAUUGAAUGAGCCGAUGUCGGAUUAGCUAGUUGGCGGGGUAAAGGCCCACCAAGGCGACGAUCCGUAGCUGGUCUGAGAGGAUGAUCAGCCACACUGGAACUGAGACACGGUCCAGACCCCUACGGGAGGCAGCAGUGGGGAAUAUUGGACAGUGGGCGCAAGCCUGAUCCAGCCAUACCGCGUGGGUGAAGAAGGCCUUCGGGUUGUAAAGCCCUUUUGUUGGGAAAGAAAAGCAGCAGGUUAAUACCCCGCUGUUCUGACGGUACCCAAAGAAUAAGCACCGGCUAACUUCGUG
rnacentral:rRNA from 1 species